rnacentral:rRNA from 1 species
AGUAUCAUUAAGUGAAUACAUAGCUUAAUGAGGGGAACUCAGGGAACUGAAACAUCUAAGUACCUGAAGGAAGAGAAAGAAAUUCGAUUCCGUAAGUAGCGGCGAGCGAACGCGGAUUAGCCCAAACCAAUAAAGUUUUCUUUAUUGGGGUUGCGGACAUAUCAUAACGAAGAGGUAUCGUAAUUGAAGAGGUUUGGAAAGACCCACCACAGAAGGUAAUAGUCCUGUAUGUUAAACGAGAAGACUUUAGAUAUGAUCCAGAGUACCACGGGACACGUGAAACCCGGUGGGAAGCAGGAGGGACCACCCUCCAAGGCUAAAUACUACCUAGUGACCGAUAGCGUAUAGUACCGUGAGGGAAAGG